UGAAAAUGAAAUUUAGAAUAGAUGUAAUUUUUCAGAAGUAUAGCUGUCUAAAAACUAUACGUGAAAGAUAGCGUACCACUGCAAGACAAAGGGUCCUUAAAAGCUGGUCAGGUAAAAUGUUGGUGUUUGUGGUGUGCUGUCUUUUCGGUUACCGUGGCAAAGGCUGGAACUCUGUGAUUUUAUGUAAAUCAAAUGCCUACUGGGCCAUGCAGUGCACAGCAUGAGAGGGG